UUCGAUCCUGAAAAGCUCCAGAUUAGACGCUGGCAGGAUGCUUUACAUACAAGUCGAACGGCAGCACGGACUUCGGUCUGGUGGCGAGUGGCGAACGGGUGAGUAAUGUAUCAGGGCUUACGUGCCUAGUAGCGAGGGGAUAACGCGAAAGCGUAGCUAAUACCAUACGCCCUUCAGGGGAAAGCAGGGGGACCUUCGGGCCUCGCACUAUUACGACGGCCGAUAUCGGAUUAGCCGUUUGGUGGGGUAACGGCUCACCAAGGCGACGAUCGCGGCUGGUUCGAAGGACGACCAGCCACGCCUGGGACUGAGACCUGGCCCGAGAAGCUCACUGCAAGGAACAGCAGUGGGGGUGACGGACAAUGAGCACAGUCUGACCAUCCAGUAUGCUGAUAGAAGGCCUUCGGGUUGUAAAGCACUUUUGGCAGGAAAGAAACGGCCUGGAUAAUACCCCGAUGCAACUGACGAAAUACCUGCAGAAUAAGCGCAGCUAACUACGUGCCAGCAGCCGCGGUAAUACGUAAGUGCAAGGCGUUAAUCGGAAUUACUGGGCGUAAAGCGUGCGCAGGCGGUUCCGGAAAGAAA
rnacentral:misc_RNA from 1 species